rnacentral:snRNA from 1 species
GUGUUGCUUUGGCAGCUCAUAUACAGAAAUUGGAUUAGCAAGGUCUCUGCUCAAGAACAACAUGCAAAUUCAUAAAGUGUUCCAUAUUUUA